AGUUUUAUAGUCAAAAUUAAUGAUAUUAAAUUGCAAAUUUAAUGGUAUAUGUUUUAUUAAAGCUU
rnacentral:tRNA from 1 species